UACGUAGGUUGCGAGCGUUAAUCGGAAUUACUGGGCGUAAAGUGUGCGCAGGCGGCCGCGCAAGUCGAGUGUGAAAGCCCCGAGCUUAACUUGGGAAUUGCGCUCGAAACUACGUGGCUGGAGUGUGGCAGAGGAAGGUGGAAUUCCACGUGUAGCGGUGAAAUGCGUAGAGAUGUGGAGGAACACCGAUGGCGAAGGCAGCCUUCUGGGCCAACACUGACGCUCAUGCACGAAAGCGUGGGGAGCAAACAGG
rnacentral:rRNA from 1 species